GCAAAUGGGGUGUGCCACCACCUGUUGAGAAUGGAUCAGCUAGUAGUGUGCCAGCUACACCUUCAGUUGGACCUUCAGGUUCAGAUCAACCCAAAGAUGAUCAAACAGCUGCCAGAGCACAAGUUCUUUUACAUGCUUGGCUUACUGGCACUCUAAAUUUAGAUUUUCAGGAUAUGUAAUUACUCAAGGAUUGAAAUCUGUUGAUGUAGAUCUAACUUAUUGGGGUAAGGUUCUGCUUGAGGUAAAUGCUGUAGAAGAAUUAAUAGUGAAAUAUUUUUUCUUUUUAAAAGAAAUUUCUUUGAGGAAGUCUUUCUUCUCUCUUCUUUGUUAACAUUUUGCUUCAAUUAUUGAAUAGUAAUGCUGUUUUAUGCAUCGAACGGAGUCAUGUCUGAAAUGUACAUUACUUGGAUUUCCUUUCA